rnacentral:lncRNA from 1 species
AAAAAUAAGUCACUAUAAAGAGGUCAAGAGAGAGAAAUCAAUUUUACCAAUGUUUAACUCUUGGCAAUGAGAUUUGAUCAAGAAACAAAUGCUAUGGAUCAAGGUAUGUUUUCUCUAAAUUAUGAUGAUGUGAAAAUCAUGAUAUUCUAUAAUCUUAGGGAUUAAAAUUUAUUCAAAUUAGGGUUUAUUUGCUUUAUGGGAAUUGAAAAACGAAAACGAAUGAUCAUAAAACAAAAAUGGAGAAAUAUUAUUUCAUUGUUGAAAAGUUAAAAUCAUCAACUGUGAAAUAAAAAUGGUAUUUAUUAUAUUUUUAAAAAUACAUGAACUAAUUCGGAAAAUUAUCCAUUUGUGUGAUUUGAACCUUGCAAAUUAAUUUGUGGGUGGCAUUUAGUUCAAAUGAUAAAAUCUCUUAUGUGAAAACAAGAUGUCUUGUACAAGAAAAUCAACACCCAAUCACCCAAAAUACUACAUUAAAAUUAUUUGGUGAUUACAUUGAUUUUAUGGUUUGAAUAAGAUAACGAGAGUUAUUAAUUUUUUAAAAAAUAUAGUUUAAAUUAUGUUUAAUAUUCCGGUCUAGCCUCUAUUAAAUAAAGAGGUGAGAAGGCGGCUUUCUAUUGAUAUAUGAAUAUGCAAUUUACUUGAGAUCUUUUAUAUUAAUUGUUUUUUUUUUUUUUGUUGUGAUGGGAGUUUAUAAAUUCUAUAUAUAGUGUUUUUAGUAACUGUGACUACGACUUGUUUUUCUCUCUUUGGGUAAUCGUACUUAUCAAUGAGAUUGUUCAGCUUUGUUUUGCAAUCUUUGUCAAAUUUUUUAUUUGUCAAAAAGUCUAAUUAAUUAAAUAUUGAACUUUGAAUAGCCUUCUCGGUUUUUGGUAGGAAGAAUAAGGAGCUUAAAGGAUAAUAGGCACAAUUUGUUAGGGAUAUAUCUUUUUUAUAUUAAUUUUGACUCUGAGUAAUUACUGGCUCAACUUAUCCAUGAACUUAUAUAUAUUAUCAGAACCAACAGACUUAGCACGUGAUGAAGAUGUUAAAUAGGUGGGGCUAUAAGCCUUUCCUAACGAAAACUAAAUUUUAAUUGAUGCAUAGUCAAUCGAGAUGGGCAUUGAGGAGAUGAGGCUGCGGGCGUGAGGAUGAAAUCUCAAAAAAUUGAAGUUGGUAUUUGAAAUUGUUUUGUAAAAUGUGAAAUAUCAAUGCAACUGGUUUUGCUUUCACUGUCAGCACUCAAAUCGUAUUAAUUUCUUCAUGUUGGUUAAGAUUACUGGUUUUGAGUAGAUUAUAGUUUCUUCCAUUCUCUGUUCUUAUGCCAUCACGUAUUAAGUGGAGCACUUUGAAACACUACGUGGUGAAGGAUUUGGUGCAAAUCCAUACAGGAUGUUGGGAAUAAAUCUG